rnacentral:rRNA from 1 species
AGCGAACGCUGGCGGCAGGCCUAACACAUGCAAGUCGAGCGGCCGUAGCAAUACGGCAGCGGCAGACGGGAGAGUAACACGUGGGAACGUACCCUUUGGUUCGGAACAACACAGGGAAACUUGUGCUAAUACCGGAUAAGUCCGUAAGGAGAAAGAUUUAUCGCCGAAGGAUCGGCCCGCGUCUGAUUAGCUUGUUGGUGAGGUAACGGCUCACCAAGGCGACGAUCAGUAGCUGGUAUGAGAGGAUGAUCAGCCUCACUGGGACUGAGACACGGCCCAGACUCCUACGGGAGGCAGCAGUGGGGAAUAUUGGACAAUGGGCGCAAGCCUGAUCCAGCCAUGCCGCGUGGAUGAUGAAGGCCCUAGGGUUGUAAAGUCCUUUCGGCGGGGAAGAUAAUUACGGUACCCGCAGAAGAAGCCCCGGCUAACUUCGUGCCAGCCGCCGCGGUAACAC